rnacentral:lncRNA from 1 species
CAGCUGGACUUCUUGGAGUAAUGGGAUCUCGUUUUCUGAAAUCAAAGAAGGUUUUUCCAGCUGGUGUUGUCUCCUGUGUGUCUUUUAUUAUGACUGGUGGUUAUUUGCAUGGAAUAUUGCGCAGUGCGCAUUAGAUUCCCUAAAAUGAGCAAAGUAUUUGUCAACAGACUCAACACAGAUAAUCAUUAGUAUCUACUCUUUUCUGUGGAUUUUAGUUUUGAUAUCUGUUUGAAUUUGGAUUUUGUCAAGUUUUCUAAGUUGUUGAGCUGCUAGAACUCUCUAGUAAAACACUAAUAUUGCAUCAAGGGCACCUUUGUUUACCUUCUUUCUCCGUAGUGAAUUCAUUCUGUUUUUGGUGAAGUUUUCCUCUAUUAUUGCUGUUUAUAUGUGAUUUACCACAUUAGUAGUAGUAUCUAGUAAUAUCGUAGCUUCUCUAUUGUCUCCAUCACAAAACUCCUUUCUUUCUGUUCAACGAUGUGGACAUGAUAUUAUUGUUUUUUUUUAAAAAAUCCAUCCUAAUUAUUUUCUUGUCAAGGAUUAGGAUUCCAAGAACCGUUUCUUUCAUGUUAAGAGUAACAAUGGUGUCUACACCAAGAACUCUUCCUCAAUCACUUGUUCAACUUAUUCGAUUACAAAACCUCCCUCAUCCUAUUGGCAUCUUUGAUUUGGUCAUCCACAUCAAAGAGUUCUUAGUCAAAUGACAUCCACUCAUAAUUUUAUGUAGUGAUUGUCAACAUGACAAGUCACCGUGUUUAUAUUAAUCUAGCAACUCAGCAUCAAGAACCUUACUAAUUAGUUGGUCAUUAUAAUUUGUGUGUUCUUAAUUACCAGGUAUACAAUUUGAUCAAAAAAAUGCUUCAAGUAUGAAGACUUGAUUGAACUAGGCAACUAGAAUUUACCUAGGAGGUGCAUUUUCCUCUAUGAAACAGUUGUAUCUAGAUGUGCAACACCAAUCAAUGCUUAAAAUGAAUGAAGUUAAUUACUUUUUCAUAUGCCCCAAUAAGAAAUCACAAGUAGUGUUCAAUAUGAUACACCAAUGGACAAGAUCUGACAUUUUAAUUGGCGAAUGAACAUGGCUCUCAAUUGUAGAGAGAAUCAAAGCAUCAUUUUCACUUUAUUGAUGCUGUGAUUCCUUCAACAUCUAGAAAAAGCAUAUCAUUUUAGGAACAAAAGCAACAGACAUAAACAAAGAAAUGAGGAAAGGAAAUUGUAAAGUCGAAACAAGGGGUUUCAUUGAUUGAUGAUUGAGGAAAAAAAACUUAACAGUAGUUCCAACUAAUUCCAUUUAAUAAUCAUCAGCUUCUAACAACAAAAUUACAUACACAGAAGAUCCAAAAAAAAAAAAAACCCAUUAGGAAUCUAAGCCUUCUUGGGAGAUUUGGUAGCUUUGGAUGGAGAUUUAGGGGCCUUUUCACCUCCAGUCUUCUUUGGCAACAAAAUUGGGUUGAUGUUAGGAAGAACACCACCAUGUGCAAUUGUUACACCAGCAAGAAGUUUCCCAAGUUCUUCAUCAUUCCUCACAGCCAAAAGCAAGUGCCUUGGGAUGAUUCUGUUCUUCUUGUUAUCACGAGCAGCAUUUCCAGCCAACUCCAACACCUGUAAAUCAAACAAAAUCAAAACUUGUGAGAUACCCAACAUGAAUUUCAACACAAAAAUAAGAACAACCAAUCAAAAAAUUGAAACCCUAGAUCCUAAUUGAACCAAAUUAGCAAAGCUGGAGGGAAGGAAGGGAAAUUUACUUCAGCAGCCAAAUAUUCAAGAACGGCGGCCAAGUAAACGGGAGCACCAGAACCAACACGUUGAGCGUAUCGGCCUUUUUUCAAAAACCUUCCGAUUCUUCCAACGGGGAACUGAAGACCGGCCUUUACAGACCGGGAAACAGGCUUCUUCUUUGGGCCUCCUCCCCUCCUGCCGGCGGCACCCUUCUUCACUUUUCCGGUAGACUCCAUUUCAAGAAUAGCUUCUUUAUUUUCUUUGAAAGAGAUAAUUGAUUGUCGGAGAGAUGAUAAUUGGUAAGAAUCUGCGGAUGGUUUUUAUAGAGAUCUUUGAUUGUCAUUUUGGUUUUUCGGAUGCUUGUUUACAGCCGUUGGAUUGAUCUUUAAUCCGACGGUGUACAUUCAAUAUGUCUCGAUCUGCGUCAUUUCAAAUGGACCAAUAAGAAGCGGAGUCUGUGAAUUUGAAUGUUGUUUAAGGUUAAAACCCUUUCUCCCGCCAGAAAUAUUUUGCCCUUUGGCGAAAAAUUUCGAAUCUAUAGAAUCUCAGGGGUCGUUUGGUAGAAUAUAUAAGAAUAAUACUAAAUAAAGUGUAUUAGUAAUAUUUGUAUUGACAAUGCAUGUUUUAGUUAUGCUUGCAUUAAUAAUACAUAGAUUAUUUUUAUGCAUUAUUUGAUUUGAUGCAUUAAAAAUAACAUGCAUUACAUAAAAAAAUUAAUUUACUAAGAUCCCCUCCACUAUUAUGAUAGAAAAGAUGUAAAAAAGGAUUUGAGAGGUAAAUGGAUCUUUAAUUGAGUCAAUGCAUGUAUUAGUAAUGCAUACAUUAAUAUACAAUAGAGUAUACAACUAAUGUAAAUAUGCAAGCAUUAAUUACACAUAGGUUAGAAAAGAGUAUCAAACAAGGUAUUAGUAAUACACAAGGCUAAUGCAUGCGUUAUUUUUCCUAAUACAUUUUACCAAACGACCCCUUAAAGUUUAAUUCUUUUAAAUUGCAUUAAUAAUAUGAAAUUGUUCGUCAUCAAAAGAAGGAGCCGAGAAAAUUUGGUUGUUUCGAUGCAGGUUUAGGACAAUAACACUUGUAUUUUGAGAUUUCGUUUAAUUCAACUAGCGCUAACCGUUUACGCACAACAACAGCUAAACCGUAUAGAUAUUAAGGAGAGUCGUUAAUGUUAGUUGUCGUCUAUCCAUAAAGACCUUCAUUACCCCUACAAUGAUGAUCAUCUGAUUUUCACUUCAAUACUAAAAACUACUUCCUCCGUCCACUUUUUAUCGUCAUAGUUUUCUUUUUUAGAGUCAAAUAAUAAGAACUUUGACAAACAUUUUACGAUGUUUUUUUUUUAUCAUAUUGGUGUGCAAAAAUUUGCAAUUUAUAAUACUUUUCUUAUAGUUUUUGAAUAUCUAAUUUUUUUUGUUUAAAAUAUUAAAUUAAUGUAAUCAAAUUUAACUUUGAAAAUUAUUUAAAUUGACUUUUGAAAAAGUAAAUACUACUUAUUUGGAGUACACACAACCCUUCGCGCCAACAUUUAUUGAUUGAUUCUGGAAAUGGAAUAAGAAUUUUUCAUUUUUGUUAUUUCAUCUCUCAUUUAUUGUUUGUUGGUUAAUUUAUUAUUUUACUGCUUCAUUGACGCUAUCAAGAAAUUAAUAGUCUAGAUUUAGUACGACAUACUUAAAAAUUCAACUGAUUUUUAUUAUAAAUAGGUAUUAAGCUAAAUAGUGACCACAUGAUAGCUUGCUACUACUCGAUUCUGUAGGACUCCCACCCCUCCCUCGAGGACUGAACUAACACAGUCCAUAUUGCUUCUGCUUGAGCUUGUUGUUGUUUCAUUGUUUACUAGGGUUGUUUAGUUGGGAACAAAUUAUCUCAGGAUUGGUUAUUUUGGGAUUAGCUAUAUGAUAUAAAUGGUGAGAUAAGUUGUUUCACACAUGGCAAUCAAACAAGACACAAAAUUUUUAUUCCAUCACUAUUUAUUUUUAUCCCUCACACCAAACGAGCCCUAAGUAUUACAGUAGUCCGAGCUUGCUCAGGUAUAUAUGCUGGUGACCUCAUUUCCAAUUUCUGCUUUUUCUUCAGUUGUACUGAAGAUCUAUAUAUACUCAUUGUUGCUAAUUCAUCUAACCCUCUUGAGUCAACUGAUUCCGCAGUUUUCCUCCCUAUUUCCCUUCAUGUUUUGUGCUUCCCUUGUCAUUAUCGCCUUCUGAGUGGGUAUAUUACCUAUGGUGGGCGCAGGUUAUGCUAACGUGCACCGAGAGAGAAAGCAUCCCAAAAUAAUUCUUGCUACUCCCAAACAUUUAUUAUCCCAUCAUUUAGUAACCAUAUUGGAGUGAGAUACAUCACUCCGCUUGAAAUAGAACACUUAAUUAUCUCCAUAACGGGUGGGUGUUUGAUUUUCAAAUUUCGGGUUCGGUAAUGAUAAAAGUAGAUACCAAAUAUCAAAUUUUUAAAUGUUGGCUCGGUAAUUAAAUUUCGAUUUGAUACCCAUAUUGAAGUUGUAGCCAACAAAGUUAAUAUUAUUUCUCAAUCAAACACUAACAAAUGGUCCUGCAAAUGCUUACAGUUGCUGAAAAGGGACCAAUGAUGAGGGAGUUUGGGCGCCAUUCAUAGGCUUAUAACAAAAAAAAACUUGCAAAGAAUAUAAGAACAACUAACUUUCACUGGAUCUAGGUUCUUGGAAGUUACAUAUAUAUAUAUAUAUAUAUUGCGUUAGCUGUAGGAACUGCAUCUGCUUAUUAUUGUUGCUUGUCUUUGGUUACUCCUAUUUUAAUUGUUUUGUUGAAUUAAUUGGCUCAUCAACUCUUUAGUGGAAAUGAAGACUUGCAAGUCUCUUGUUGUCCCGAGUUUUCCUUCUCGUGGUCUCUACCUUUCCUCACUUUGAUCUACUAUUUAUUGCCACAUCUAUCACUACAGUGAUUUUUUUUGAGUUAUAAUGGGCAUUACGUACGGAAGUACCUAAACAUUGUAUUACUAUAAUUUGCAAUAAACACGACAAGUGCCAAGCAUACAGAGAACUAGAGAUGAGAGAAAGCACAGCUGAGAGCAGUAGAAAUGUUAUACUAUCAAUAAUGUGAAUAUGUUAUGUGGCAUUAUCUUUUGCAGAAAGCUUCUUUAUAAUUAAAGUGCAUCUAAUUUCAUUUCCUCCUGCUGAAAUAUCUUACAUCGACUGUCCUGUCCGAGUCUUGUUGAUUCCCAUUUACUUUGUCUAUUUCUCUUCUGUCAUUGAAAUCAUGAUCUACCGACUGCAGAUUGUUCAUGGAAGUUGCUGAGACUACAGAAGCUGCUGAAAACAAAACAUCCAGAAAAUAAGUUUCCCUUAAUUCAGUGUACACAUUACUAUUUCAUAUUCCAGAUAAUGGGUGAAUUUUUGGCCAUUUCUCAGUCCUCCAUAGUGUUACCUAACUUUAGAGUCCAAGCUUGGAGUCAAAGGCAGCUUUUCAUUGCUCAGAGUCAGCCAUUGAGAUGAUCACUUCAUUCGUCUCUUCAUACCUUGACUCCCCCUCGCACAGUGUAUCCAGGCUUGUCUGCUGGAUCGAAGCAUUUCUCUUUGGGGGUCAGAGCCAGUGUUGUCUCUGCUGACUCUACAAUGCCAACUACCUUUACUGUUGAUCCAGCUGGGCCAGGAAUCACUAUUCUGCCAGAGGCAGAUGGUGAUGGUGGAGGUGAUUCUGGGGGUACAAAUGGCGGUAGGGGAGAUAAUGGUGGAAAUAAUAAUGAGGGGGGUUCAGAUGAAGGUGAGAAUCAUAACAGUAAAAAGAAAAUGGCCCUCUCUAUGUCCCAAAAAUUGACAUUGGGCUAUGCUUUCUUGGUUGGAGCUGGUGGUUUUAUGGGUUAUCUUAAGAGUGGCAGCACAAAAUCUCUGAUUGCAGGUGGAGUUUCUGCCUCCCUCCUGUACGCUGUUUAUACUAUGCUUCCAACACAACCUGUUUUGGCAUCAGCAAUUGGUUUCGUCCUCUCAGCUGGACUUCUUGGAGUAAUGGGAUCUCGUUUUCUGAAAUCAAAGAAGGUUUUUCCAGCUGGUGUUGUCUCCUUUGUGUCUUUUGUUAUGACUGGUGGUUAUUUGCAUGGAAUAUUGCGCAUUAGAUCCCCUAAAAUGAGCUAAGUAUUUGUCAACACAGAUAACCAUUAGUAUCUACUCUCUUCUGUGGAUUUUAGUUUUGAUAUCUGUUUGAAUUUGGAUUUUGUCAAGUUUUCUAAGCAGUUGGGCUGCUACAACUCUCUAGUAAAACACUAAUAUUGUAUCAAGGGCACCUUCGUUUACCCUCUUUCUCCGUAGUGAAUCCAUUCUGUUUUUGGAGAAGUUUUCCUCUAUUAUUGCUGUUUCUAUGUGAUUUCCAUAUUUGUAGUAUUAUCUAGUAAUAACGUAGUUUCUUAUUCUUCAAUAUUAUUUUGUCCUUCUCCUUCACUUCAAACACUCAAGUUUUUAAUCUCCAUAUGCAACUGCAGAACCUCAAACAAGACGCUCUCAGUAUUACAACAAUACCUUAGAAAGGUGAAACUUCUUUCAGAUGAACUAGUUGUUGCGGGAUGGACCUUGAACAUAUCUGAUUUUAAUAUCUAUAUGUUCCAAGGACUAAGACCCGAUUUUAAGGACAUUACGUUGUUCGCAUAACCUGAACCAAUAUCUUAUUCAAAACUCCUAAGUUUGUUAUUGAUCCAUGACUUUGUUCAUUGUCUGGACAUCAAGAACUCUUCCUCAAUCACUCGUUUAACUAAUUCGAUCACAAAAGCUCCCUCAUCCUACUGGCAUCAUCCACAUCAAAGAGUUCUUAGUCAAAUAUCAUCCACUCAUAAUUUUAUGUGACAAGUCACCGUGUUUAUGUUAAUCUAGCAAUUAAGCAUCAAGAACCGUUGGUUAUUGUAAUUUGUGUGUUUUUAAUUACUGGGUUAACAGUUUGAUCGAAAAAUGCUUCAACUUAGGUGCCUAUCCGAUUGAACUUGCCAACUAGAAUUUACCUAAGAAAUGCAGUUUCCUCUAUUAAACACUAGUAUCUAGACUAGAUUGCAACACCAAGCUAUGCUUAAAAUGAAUGAAGUUAAUUUCUUUUUCAUAUGCCCCAAUAAGAAAUCAUUAGCUUUCAAUGGCCAAGAUCUGACAUCUGAAAAGUCAAAAACUAAACAAACACCAUGAUAAAAGGCAAAUGAACAUGGCUCUCAAUUGUAGAGAGAAUCAAAGUAUCAUUUUUUCCCACUUUAUAUUUUUAUUUUAUUUUUCAACAGUAAAGUAGAUUCUAUUUCAAAGUAAAAGGUUACAGAGGAGGACCAAACCUUACCUCAUACAAGAGUAGCUAGAAUGGUAAGCCAUUCUUACAAUUUUAGCUUCCAAAAAUAAAGCAAAAGAGGAAGAUUGUUCCUAGUACAGUUAGGUUUCCAAAAAAGUCUAGUAUAGGGUACCUAGAGCUCAACCAGGGUCGAAGAUAAAAGUGUUUUUCCUUAAUCUGAUUCUGAAGUUUGGACGAGCUUCUUCAUCAUUCUUCAUAGUGGCUACAAUCUUCCUUGGUAAGUGUAUAGUUUCAGUGAAGAAGUCAUUUUUCCUAUCAAGCUCCGCAUAGUUGGCCAAGAGAUCAGCAGUGUUAUUUCCCUCCCUGAAUAUAUGAAUGAACUGAAAAUUUCCCUUUGGAGUCAUAUUAUGGAUGUCAUUAAUUUCCUCCUUAAUGCUCCAUGUUAUAGUUGUAGCUUUGUUGAUCAUGUUAAUCACAGUCAAGGAAUCAGAUUCUAUCGUAAGAACAUUGAAACCGUGAUCAAUACACCAUUUCAAUCCAAUCUUGAUAGCCCGUGCCUCGGCCAAGUUGUUAAAAGAGUGACCAAAAUAUGCUGUGAAAGCCAUGAUCAUAUGACCCAUAUGAUUCCUCAAAAUACCUCCACCACCGGCACUUCCUGGAUUACCCUUAGAGCAACCGUCAACAUUAAGCUUGUAUUCUCCGUAAUUAGGCUUACUCCACAGGACGGGGGUGAUAUCUAGCUUAGGCUUGAUAUUCUCCAUCAUCCGACAAAUGCUUCGAAAUUUUGUGGGAAACUUUAGGGAAGGGAACUGGGAAGUGAGGAUCAAAUGGAUGUGGUAUGUAGCUUGAUGAAUAAUGUUACCAGAGUAAAUUUUGGUGCCUUCAUAUUUAUAAGUGCAUCUAUGUUUCCAUAAUUCCCAGCAAAUCACAGAAGGAAGGCAUUGAGUGGUCAAUUCAAGCACUUUAUUGGUGGAUUUAAUACGCCACCAUCUCAUAAGCUUAGUACGAAUGCUAUCAGAAUUAGGCUAGAGCAGUCCCAAAGUAUCUUCAAAAAAUUUCCAAACUUUCUCCGCUAUUUGACCGUAGCUAAACAGGUGGUUGAUGUCCUCAUUCAUUCCAUUGUGACAACAAAAACAUUUGGAAGGUCCCUGCACACCAAAACGAGAUAAUGAAUCAUCUGUAAGCCAACUUAUUGUUAAGGAGUCUAAGCAUAUGAAAGGAAAUUUUGAAAGGCAAUUUUGUAUGCCAAAUAUUUUUAGAAGUCGGGGAGGAGCCAUUAGAUUGUCUAAGAGCAUUCCAGGCAGAUUUUGAGGAGAAAGAGCCUGUGUGUUCAGGUGUCCAGACAGCAUGGUCUUGAUUACCUGCAAAGAUCUUGAUAGUUAAAAUGUGAACAACUAAAUCAGAAGGUAAAAUUUCAUGAAGCUUACUAGUGUUCCAGUGAUUAGAAUUAAGAAAGUCAGAGACUUAGUAUUCUUCGAAUGAGUACUUUGGUCCACCAACAUAGCAAGAGCCCCUCUGUUAGUCCAAUUAUCCCACCAAAAAGAAAGAUUUUCAUUGCCCACUUUCCAAAGAAUAUUAUGUUCACAAUCAUUCCUGGCAUCCAUGAGCCUUCUCCAAAUGUGAGAUUGAGAAUAAUUCUUUUUCCUGGCAACAGCAUGAAUUCUUUUGCAAUAUUUGGCUUCUAAGAACUUAGUGAGAAGAGAAUUUUGAGUUCUAAAGUUCCACCAAGCUUUAGCCGCAAAAGUAUUACAAAUGUCAUGGAGAGAUCUGAACCCCACUCCCCCUUCUAUUUUGGGGUAGCAAAGUUUUUUCCAAGAGAUCCAAUGGUAUUUUCUCUUGCCUUCCGAGGACCCCCAGAAGAAGUUAGCAAGAGAAUUUUCAAUAAGAUCAAGAAUAGUCUUCGGAGGAUGAGCCACAGAGAUGAUAUGUAAGGGCAUCGAAUGCAACACUGAUCUAAUAAGAACAACUUUGCCACCCAUAGAGAGCAAAUUACCCAACCAUCCUUGAGUUCUGUUGACAAUUUUGGAGACCAUACUACUAAAGUAGGUAAUUUUCUUUCUUCCCGAAUAAAUAGGGCAUCCCGGAUAGUUAAUAGGGAAGAGGGAGUGAGAAAAUCCAGUAAGAAUUUUAAUAUCCUCAAUAAGCUGGGCAGGAGUAUUAGCAGAAAUUAAAAAAGUGGAUUUUUUCUUAUUAACCAUUUGACCAGAAACACCCACUUUAUAUUGAUGUUGUGAUUCCUUCAACAUUAACAACAUCUAGAAAAAGGCAACAGACAAAAACAGAGAAAUGAGGAAAUGAAAUUGUAAAGUCGAAACAAGGGGUUUCAUUGAUUGAUAAUUGAGAAAAAAACUAACAAAGAUCUAACAGUAGUUCCACUAAUUCCAUUUUAAUAUCCAUCAAGGACAAUCAACAGCUUCUAACAACAGAAUUACAUACACAGAAGAUCCAAAAAAACCAACACCCUAAUAGAAUCUAAGCCUUCUUAGGAGAUUUGGUAGCUUUGGAUGGAGAUUUAGGGGCCUUUUCACCUCCAGUCUUCUUUGGCAACAAAAUUGGGUUGAUGUUAGGAAGAACACCACCAUGUGCAAUUGUUACACCAGCAAGAAGUUUCCCAAGUUCUUCAUCAUUCCUCACAGCCAAAAGCAAGUGCCUUGGGAUGAUUCUGUUCUUCUUGUUAUCACGAGCAGCAUUUCCAGCCAACUCCAACACCUAUAAAUCAAACAAAAUCAAAACUUGUGAGAUACCCAACAUGAAUUUCAACCUAUAAGAGAAUUUCAACACAAAAAUAAGAACAACCAAUCAAAUAAUUGAAACCCUAGAUCCUAAUUGAACCACAUUAACAAAGCUGGAGGGAAGGAAGGGAAAUUUACUUCAGCAGCCAAAUAUUCAAGAACGGCGGCCAAGUAAACGGGAGCACCAGAACCAACACGUUGAGCGUAUCGGCCUUUUUUCAAAAACCUUCCGAUUCUUCCAACGGGGAACUGAAGACCGGCCUUUACAGACCGGGAGACAGGCUUCUUCUUUGGGCCUCCUCCCCUUCUGCCGGCGGCACCCUUCUUCACUUUUCCGGUAGACUCCAUUUCAACAACUGCUUCUUUAUUUUGUUUGAUUUGAAAAAGAUAAUUGAUUGUCGGAGAGAUGAUGAAUUGGGUAAGAAUCUGCGGAUGGUUUUUAUAGAGAUCUUUGGUUGUCAUUUGGUUUUUCGGAUGUUUGUUUACAGCCGUUGGAUUGAUCUUUAAUCCGACGGUGUACAUUCAAUAUGUUUCGAUCCGUGUCAUUUCAAAUGGACCAAUAGGAAGCGGAGUGUGUGAAUUUGAGUGUUGUUUAAGGUUAAAAAGCCUUUCUCCCGCCUGAAAUAUUUUGCCCUUUUCGAAUUCAUAGAAUACCUUAAAGUUUAAUUCUCUUAAAAUGCAUUAAUAAUAUAAAAUUGUUCGUUAUCAAAAGAAGGGGACGAGAAAAUUUGGUUGUUUCGAUGCAGGUUUAAGACAAUAACACUUGUAUUUUGAGAUUUCAGACGUUUUGUUUAUUUCAAUUAGCGGUAGCAAUUUUCGCAUAAUAGCAGCUAAACCGUAUAGAUAUUAAAGAGAGUAAUUAAUAUCAAUUGUCGUAUAUCCAUAAAGACCUUUAUUACUCCUACAAUGAUGAUCAUCUGAUUUUCACUUCAUUACUAAAAACUAUUUCCUUCGUUCACUUUUAAUUGUCAUAGUUUUCUUUUUAGAUGCAAACGAUAAGAACUUUGGCCAACAUUUUACGAUUAUUUUUUCAUCAUAUUAGUAUGCAAAAAAUUGCAAUUUAUAGUAUCUUUCGUAUAAUUUUUGCAAUUAAUUAUAGUCAUUUCUUUAUUAUAUUUUCCAAGACAUUGUAUUUAUUACUAUAUUCAAUGGGUGAUAUAAUAAAAUUAUCAUUUUAUUUAUAGUUUUUUAAGAAACAUGCAAAAUUAAUAGUGAACAAGUAUUGUUGGACAGAGAAAGUAAUUUACUAAGUUAACCUUACUUAUUAAAUGUGUUUUUGAGAAAUGAUGAGGAAUAUUUAAAAGAUUAAGGUCUUUAGGGCCUGUUUGGUUACUGGUUAGAGUUAUGCAGGUACUCCUUCCGUUCCAUUUUUAUGUGAGAUAGUAUGACUCAACACGGAGUUUAAGAAAGAAAUGAAGACUUUUAAAAUUUGUGGUCCAAAAUGAAUGAUAGAAAUUUGUAUGGCUGUAAAUUAUUUUAUUAAAGGUAAAAUAUAUAUUUUAUAGUAAAAUUAUUACUUAAUAUAAAAAUAUAUCAUUCUUUUUGGGACUGACUAAAAAGAAAAGUAAGUCACAUAAAUUGGGACAGAGGGAGUAUUAGUUAUGCAGGUAUUAGUUAUGCAGGGUUUAGUUAUGCGGGUAUUAGUUAUGUAAGGUUUAGUUAAGCAGGGUUUAGUUAUGUUGGGUUUAGUCAUGCGGAUAUUAUUUAGUUAUGUAGAAAUUAUAAUAUAUGAAUUAUUAACUAUUAAAUAUUGAAUUUGUUGUAAAUUAAUAUAUAUUAUUUACAUAUAGAUAAGUAAACAAACAGUAUAAGUUCUCCCUCUUUUUGAAUAAAAAACCAAGUAAAGAAAAAAAAAAGUUCUCCCUCUAUACUUAACUGAGACUUUUGUUUUUUCUUUUUGCUAUUUUUGAAAAUAUCAUUAAUAUAUUUCAAGUACAUUAUAAUAUCCUAUUUUAUAUAAUGCAAAUAUUCUAUCAAUAUAUUGUAUAUAUUUGUUUAUAUAUUUUUAAUAUACCAAAUAUAUGAAUUAGGUAUAAAUUCACGUUCUAAACAAAAUAAUAAUACAUGUUAAUUAAGUAUGUGGAAUUUAUUUAAGAGAAAAGACAUAAAAUCCCUCCUGAACUUGUCCGCACAACUUACUUUAGCACUUUAACUAUACAAGUGUUUCUUUAUCCCCCUAAUUUAAUUUGAAUUGAAUUUAAUUACCCCUUAAAGAGUGACGUGGCAAAAUUUGUAUCACCAACUUUCCAUAAGCGCGUGAAAAAGGAAAGACACCAAAAUACUGACACAUGUCAUAUUUUUAUUGGAUAACAUACUUAAUAACUUAUUUUACUAAUUUUAUAAUAUUUUAUUUUGAAUUAACUUUUCUCUCUAUAUAUUUCUUUUUCUGCAUCUUCUUCUUCAUUUCUUUUUCCUCUUCUCAUAUCUCUUUCUCUUUUUUUAUUCUUUUUCAUUUAGUUCAAGUAAACAUUUACUCCCAAAUAUAACUUCUUCCACAUUUUUUCUUCUUCUUUUCUUUUCUAUUUUUAAUCAUCUCUUCUUUUUUUUACAAAAAUUUUGGUGUUUGAUUCAUCGACCCCAUUUUUGACAUCAAAGAAGAUUAUUAGAUCUAUCAGUUUAAAGCGUUAUCAGAAUGAAGUUGAUUUCCAUUAAAAAAAAAGGAUCAAAGAUAUAGUUGGCAAAGGAUUAACUAUGGAGAUUUCGCCCAAUUCAUUAAUAAUUUUUCAUUUUUAUGCAAAUAAUUUUUUAAAUUUUUGACGAAGGUGGUACGGUGUAACUAAACUGAAAAUGCAAUUGAAAUUUGAAUUAUAGUUUGUAUAUUGAGGAGUAAAUUCAAUGAUGAGUUUAAUUUUUGGCUCAAUAUUAAAAAAAUAAUUAUUAUGGAGAUUUAAGCAAUUAAUUAGGAAUUUAGUUAAUGUACACGUGGAUGAAUGAAAACGUGUGUGACUCAACAACACUCAGCCUUCAACUGGGCUGGUGAUGGGAGGGUUGAAAAAAAUCACUUAAAAGAUGUUAAGGGGAUAUUUAAACACUCGUAUAGUUAAAAUGCUAAAGUAAAUUGUGCGGACAAGUUCAGGGGGAUUUUAUGUCUUUUCUCUUUAUUUAAUAAUAAAUAACACUUAUAUAUGAUUAACAUAUUCGCCGUCAAAAUAUUUACAAUCCAAUUUAUAAUAUUAAUAAAGUAUUUACAAAAAAGGUUCGGGUUUAAAAAAUAAAAGAAAAGAAAAGUUAGGAAAACUGUAUAGUUAGAUAAAGUUCUCAAUAAUUAAUGAUUUAAAAAUAAAUUAAUAGGGGUAAAUGUGUAAUUUACUUUUUUAAUACAUGUAUAACUAAUACCCGCAUAACUUAUUCCAUCUUCUACCCCGCAUAACUUAUACAUAGAUUCCCUCAUAAGUUAUGUUGGUAUUAAUUAUAUAGGAUUACAAAAAACACAAUCAGACAAAAUAUAAAAUUAUUAGAUGAAUAAGUUUUAUACAACAUUUAGAACCCUACUAACCAAAUAUAGUACUAUAAGUUAUGUUGACUUUUCAACCUAAUAAAAAACUUCUACCAAACAUAGUACAACUUAUAACUAAUACUCGCAUAACUUAUUCCACCUUCUAUCCAGCAUAACUUAUACAUAGAUUCCCUCAUAAGUUAUCUUGGUAUUAAUUAUAUAGGAUUACAAAAAACACAAUCAGACAAAAUAUAAAAUUAUUAGAUGAAUAAGUUUUAUACAACAUUUAGAACCCUACUAACCAAAUAUAGUACUAUAAGUUAUGUUGACUUUUCAACCUAAUAAAAAACUUCUACCAAACAUAGUACAACUAAUAUAACUUUUUAUACGGUAACCAAACGGCCCCCGUUAAAAGAUACAAUUGUAAAUUUUAGUUUUAAAUUUCUAAAGUGAUGGAGUACAUGUGAAAUGGUUUCGAUAAUUACAUUAACAUCCAUUUUUUUUUGGGGUUAUUGCUGUGUAUUACAUAAAAAAAUAGAGGGUUGCUUCUCAAGACAUAAAUUGCUGAGAUCAAUCCUUUACGAAAAAAGAGCUGAGAACACAAGCUACAGCUUCAAUAGAAGAUUGCUGCAUAUUAUGCUCCUGCUUACUAAACAGAGGAAAAAUAGUAAGUUGAAGACCAAUCUCAUUGUCAUUUGAGUGUGUAGAUGGACCUGAAUAGAGAACAAAGAGCCGAUCUCAACUUGGUGAAUUGUUGAUAAUCCUUUUUUCAAUAUAUGGAGUCAACUUGCUCUGUAUUGCCACAAGGAACAAAGACAAUGUAAGAGAUAAAAUAUAAAAGCGCACAAGAACCAACUAUAGGCGCAGCACAAGAAAAGAAUGAUUAAGGACCCGAAAAAACUAAAAGUGAUUAGAAAUGGGAGAAAUUCAACCCUAUGAUACUCUUCUAAAAUGCGGCAGUUGUACCAUCUCUGCUCUACAUGAAUCUGCAAAUGAUAAAAUCAACAUAACAAAUCGAGUUAGACAAAGAAAGCACGAAACAUCUUGACAAGGAACAAAAAGUUAAAAUUUCGUUAGUACAAUUCCAUCUGACACAAAUUCUAUAUCCUUUAUUUUUAUUUUGAUGACAAGGGAACCCGCAACUGCUUCCCUUUACAAUAGCUCAUAAACCACAUAGGAGAGGUAAACAACACUAAACAAGAGCUCGACCCCCAAGGGGUUUCGAAAAUGUUUGUUGAAUCAUCAAGUUUAUGGUAACCACACAGUUAUAUCCACGAUACCAGAUAAGUGAUUCUAUAACCUUUAUAUAAUUAAUACACACACACAAGACAUGUGAAUGUUAUUCUCCUUAAUAACACAGAACAUGGAGACCUUACUCUCUAAUAUUUCCAAUUUAGACAUGUUGAAAUGGUUUAUCAAUUUUGACCAAAUUUUACAGCAUUAAGUGUAGAUGGGAUAGUGACAGCUAGCAUUUUCACAAACCGUAAAAGGAUUCAAGUUGGAACGAAGUGACAUCUUCAGUGAUAUUGUGAACUGAUCUAUUGAUUGUUUAAAUGUAGCUCUAUAAGUUAACAGAACAUGGACACUGCCUCAUCAGCUAGAGUAUUGUGAGUAAGAGACUGCAUGACAUGUCUCAUAAUGGGACUCCUAGCAGCGUGCAACAAAAGCCCACAGAAAAAAGAAAGAAAUUUCACGAUGUGGAACACAAGCAACUCUGAAAUUUAAAGCAUCUGGACACUCUUUGCGUACCUGAUUAGAAUACCAGCUUGCAGAUAUUAACAUCAACAGCAUAUUAACAGUUGCCUGUAUGAAUAAAGUUUUGAAAAUAAUAAAAAAAGAGAGGGUGUAUUAUCAGCUAUUAAUAGUGAAAACAGUCAUGAUAACAAACCCUUCGGGGUAGCUCAGUGGUUUGGGCUUGUGACUUCCAUAUUGGAGGUCUCAAGUUCGAAACUCCUUGCCAGCGAAAGCAAGGGAUUUAUCUUCUGGGUCGAGCGGGGGUUUUACCCUAUAUACACCCAAAGGGUAGUGACUGCGGGUUUCCCCUGUCUUCAAAAAAAAAAAAACAGUCAUGAUAACUCAUGGUAGUUACAGAAAAUACAAACACACAGAGACAUACAUGCAUGGCCUCUCCUGAAACCACUCGCAAAAAGACACUCAACUAAAAUGUAAAAGUAAAUAUUGGAAGCUAUUUUGUAAGACACUCAACUAAAAUGUAAAAGUAAAUAUUGGAAGCUAUUUUGUAAGACACUCAACUAAAAUGUAAAAGUAAAUAUUGGAAGCUAUUUUGUAAGACACUCAACUAAAAUGUAAAAGUAAAUAUUGGAAGCUAUUUUGUAAGACACUCAACUAAAAUGUAAAAGUAAAUAUUGGAAGCUAUUUUGUAAGACACUCAACUAAAAUGUAAAAGUAAAUAUUGGAAGCUAUUUUGUAACAUCUCUCCAAGUAAUAUGGAGACCCUUUGAUAUACUCCAAAUGCUGCACUAUGCUCUAUAAGAGAAGGAAAAACAGCCGAGCCAUGAAGAUCAGCUGGAGAUAAAUGAAAAAUCUAAUUUGAGUAGAAAACAAGUUUUUAAGUUAUAAUUGAACAAGCAACAGGAAGUAGGAAGAACAACAUCAGGGUCUUUACGAACUCAGAGACAAUACAAGCAGCACAAGUUGGGUGUUCAUUAUCCAGAACUUGAAGAUUGUUAUAUUUCCUCCCAAUACUUCCUAUGCUACACAAUUGGAUUUAAAUAUACAGGAAAAAGAAAAAAAAAGAAAAAAUUGUCAAACUACCUCCCUUGAAGUUCUAAAGAUGCCCAACUCUUAGUUCAUGUCCUCAUAUAAAAAGGCAGGACGUUGAACUAUUCAUGGAUGAGGCAUUUUAGAGUAAAGGUUGACAUGAUCACGUCCUGUACAAAUAUCCUGAAUUUUGAUAGCCAUUACUUGAUCAAAGUAAAUGAUUCUCAAAGCAAGCAUCAUAUGAGAAUAUUGGGACGAUGGCACUCAGUUGAUCAAGCAUGGGAAGUUUCAUAUUAAAGAGGCUUACAUGAUCUAGCCCAAAAGCAGAUAAAUCACCUCUAGAUGGCACUGCUGGAAAGAACUACUAAGAUGGGGCAUGCCAGUGAUGACAUACAUAUGCAUCUGUAUAAAAAAAAGUCCCCUAACUAAAAGCCUAAGACAUGUCUUGUUCGAAAUGGGUUGUGCAAAAAGCUAUGCAAUGGUUCAAGCGCAAUAGAAGUAUCCGACUUUGGGAGAAAGAAUGGCAAAUGCUACAAGCAGAAGACCUCUUAGCCGCAACUGUCUACAGCCUCUGGAUUGAGAGAAACCAAUGGUUGCAUCACAACCGAGCUCCAUCUUCAAAGGCAUGCUACAUAGGCUCAACGCCGCUAUUUGCAUUAAAGUUCAACACAACAGACUUCUCUCUUUUGGGGUUUUGUGAUUUCUUUGUUGUAGGAUAAAGCACGUUUCAAAAUAAAUGCUCUUUCCUUUUUUAACAACUCUUCAAUUCUAACAAGUUUAAGACCACAAAAUUAAUAUCUUUUUACUUCAUUCUAUAUAUCUUUACUUCUUAACCACAAAUUUAAAAGUUUUUUUUUUUUUUUACUUUUUAAAAUGCCAUGCCAAGUCAAAACCAGACGAAUAAUGAAAUGGAGGGGUAGUUUUUCAGUCUCUCAGAAUUGCCCACUGGAUAUUUGAGCCUUGAUUUUCAAGUCUACUUGGUGAUUAAUAAAAAGUUCUCUUCAAUUGCACCCCGCCAACCCCCCAAAAAAGUGUGUUCCAAACAUAACGUAAGAUAAUCCACAAUUUAUAACUUUGAUCCCUUAAUCCACCAACCAAACCCCUGAGUUGAGCUAAAAUCAGAAUGAAUACUGAAGAGGAUCCUGGCAUUUUCUUCACCUACAACCUGAACUAAGAAAAGUAAAAGCAUACAAGUAGUAUAUGCGCUACAGUGGCAAUAAGAACAAUUCUACAUGUAUAUCGUUCUACACCACCAUGCUUCCGAAAACAAUAAUUCCCAAUAUCAUAAUUACAUGCAGAAAAAAAACCUUUGAUUCAUCAAGAACGAAACUUCUUGAAUAAAAAACAUACAACAUUACUCCGCACUCGAACACCAUUGGGCGACAUCAUUGCUCCUUUGGUCUACUCCUCACUUUAUCCCAACUAGAAAAUAUUAACCUCAAAAGAGAAUAGAACACGGCCAGAAUGCAUGACUUUAUAAAGUUCCAAAAUGAAGGCCAAUACCAAGGAUACAGCAAACGGAAAAAGAGACUUAUAAUAUGCCGAGGGUAUCGUCCGACCUGAAGCAAGACAUUAAAUCACGUUAGAGGAAAAAAUGGAACUCUUAAGAUGAAGAGGAAGACGAUAAAACUCCUAAGCUUGCGAUAUUCUCUAAUGCUAACGGCAAUCAUAAGCUUCCAUGUUGAAAAGAAAAUACAGAGGCUAACAAAGGAUUCCACGUUUACCACAAACUGGCAAAGUAACUGAAACAGCUUUUCUAAGAAGUUAUCUUUGUAUACCACCCACUAACAAAAAUAUCACCAGUUCCAGAUUAGGUUUUAACUCUUCUAGCCCGGACUUUUCUUCUCAACAGCUAUGCACAAGAUGUUACAAGCUAGUCCAAAAAUAUAUGCAGCUUAAAGUUCAAGCUGCAUUUCUGACUCUCAAAGAAAAAACUGAUAAAGACCAGAAUAUCUUUUAUUUGAAGAUACCCCAAAGGAAUCUGAACUAUUGUUUCUGUAAUUCUUUAUCUACUUCCUAGGUGCAUUGUGCAUCAAGAUACUUCGCUACACCGUUAAACAUCUCAUGCACAGAUGAAAAGUAAAUACAUCUUACAUCAAUCCAUAAAUUGUCCAGAAUACGACGCAGUAAUGAUAUUAAAUCAUGAGCUUUAUUCAGAUAAUGGAGAGAUUACUCAACAGGAUAUAGCAAAUCUAAUGCAUCCCAUGCUGCAUGGCGGACAGCUCUUGUUGGGUACAUGGGAGCACCUGGUGACGUGAAGCUAUACAAGCAAGUUCUCAAUCUUGUACUAGUAGCCAUUCUCAACUCUAAUCCUGCAGAGAGGUCAUUGUAAAUGUAACUCCAUUCUUUACAAAACUCAUAUUUAUUACAAAUUAGCUACAAAACUAGCUUUACCUUGAAGGACCUUCAAUUGGGAGAGAUAAUGCAACAACACUGACUCCACUUUUAGUUUUUGAAGCUGACAACAUAAGUAUAACAUAAGUAUAAAUGUGAACAAAUACAGGAAGCUAUACAUAACUAAUUGAGUUAGACAAAGAAAGCACAAAAUAAAACAAGGAACACCACCUAUUCAAAACGUCUUGACAAGGAACAAAAAGUUAAAAUCUCGUUAGUCCAAUUCCAUCUGACACAAAUUCUAUAUCCUUAAUUUUUAUUUUGAUGACAAGGGAACCGCAACUGCUUCCCUUUGCGUGCGCACCGGGUAAACUCCACUCCUUUGCAAUAACUCACAGGAGAGGUAAACCGCACUAAACAUGCCCCGUGCAACGAGGUCGACCUAGAAGGCCAACCCCCAAGGGGUUUCGAAAAUGUUUGUUGAAUCAUCAACUUUAUGGUAACCACACGGUUAUAUCCACGAUACCAGAUAAGUGAUUCUAUAUCCUUUAUAUAAUACACAAACACACAAACACUUAGAUAAGCUCAAGAAUUCAAGUUGGAAUGAAGUGACAUCUUCAGUGAUAUUGUGAACUGAUCUACUGAUAGUUUUAAGGAAUAAAUGUAGCUCCUACACCUCUAUAAGUUAACAGAACAUGCACACUGCCUCAUCAGCUAGAGUAUUGUGAGUAAGAGAUUGCAUGACAUGUCUCAUAAUGGGACUCCUAGCAGCGUGCAACAAAAGCCCACAGAAAAAAGAAAGAAAUUUCACGAUGUGGAACACAAGCAACUCUUGAAAUUUAAAGCAUCUGGACACUCUUUGCGUACCUGAUUAGAAUACCAGCUUGCAGAUAUUAACAUCAACAGCAUAUUAACAGUUGCCUGUAUGAAUAAAGUUCUGAAAAUAUAAAAAAAAAGGUGUAUUAUCAGCUAUUAAUAGUGAAAACAGACAUGAUAACUCACCCUUCCGGGUGGCCCAGCGGUUUGGACUUGGGACUUCCAUGUUGGAGGCUCAAGUUCGAAACCCCUUGCCAGUGAAAGCAAGGGGUUUGCCUUCUGGGUCGAGCUUGUCGCACCGGGUUUGCCUAGUGUGGGUUACAUCUCCUAUGUGGUUUGCGAGCUAUUGCAUAGGAGCGUUUUACCCUGUGCACACUCAAAGGGUAGCGGCUGCGGGUUUCCCCUGUCUACAAAAAAAAUAAAACAGUCAUGAUAACUCAUGGUAGUUACAGAAAAUACAAACACACAGAGACAUACAUGCAUGGCCUCUCCUGAAACCACUGGCAAAAAGACACUCAACUAAAAUGUAAAAGUAAAUAUUGGAAGCUAUUUUGUAACAUCUCUCCAAGUAAUAUGGAGACCCUCUGAUAUACUCCAAAUACUGCACUAUGCUCUAUAAGAGAAGGAAAAACAGCCGAGCCAUGAAGAUCAGCUGGAGAUAAAUGAAAAAUCUAAUUUGAGUAGAAAACAAAUUUUUAAGUUAUAAUUGAACAAGCAACAGGAAGUAGGAAGAAACACAUCAGGGUCUUUACUAACUCAUAGACAAUACAAGCAGCACACGUUGGGUGUUCAUUAUCCAGAACUUGAAGAUUGUUAUAUUGCCUCCCAAUACUUCCUAUGUUACACAAUUGGAUUUAAAUAUACAGGAAAAAGAAAAAAAAUAAAAAUUGUUAAACUACCUCCCUUGAAGUUCUAAAGAUGCCCAACUCUUAGUUCAUGUCCUCAUAUAAAAAGGCAGGACGUUGAACUAUUCAUGGAUGAGGCAUUUUAGAGUAAAGGUUGACAUGAUCACGUCCUGUACAAAUAUCCUGAAUUUUGAUAGUCAUUACUUGAUCAAAGUAAAUGAUCCUUGCAGCAGCGCUAGCAGAUCUGGUGGACUGCCCCAUUUUUCAGGUUCCAUGGAUUAAAGAAGCAUAUGUUGCAUGAGUCACCUUCAGACCACUUCUUAUCAUCUCAUCACGCAAUUCAAAUGCCUUGGACAUUUCUCCAGCGAUGCAGCAACCAUAAAUGAAAAGGUUAUAAGCCACUGCAUCAGGCUUCAGACCAUUAGUCAACAUGGAUUCCCACAAGCCUCUUGCUCCUAACAGAUCACCCCUCCUACAGAAUUCAUAAAUGAUAGUUGAGUAACUUACGCAAUCUGGGGAGAUACCAUUGUCCUCCAUUUCAAGCAAAAUAUCCAUCGCUUCCUGAAUUUGGUCUAAUCUGCACAAACCCCGUAUAAUAAUAUUGUAUGUCACAGUAUUUGCAAGGUACCCUUUCAGCAUUGCAUCGUGAAGCUGUUUAGCUUCUACCAAGUACCCUUCACUAGUGAGAUAAUCAAGGAAACAACUAUAUGUGAACUGGUUAGGUGUCAACCCUUUAGCUAACAUUUCCUUGUAGAAUAUCUCUGCUUUAUCUACUAAUCCAGCCUUGCACAAGUUAUUUAUCAUCACAGUAUACGUCACCAUAUUUGGGAAACAUCCUUCACUGACCAUUAUAUCCCAGCAUUUUAAAGCUUUUUUAAGAUCACCAACUUUUCCAUAUGCAUCAAGCAUGCUAGUGUAUAUUACUUCAUCAGGCUUCAUUCCUCGGUCGUGCAUCUCCUUCAUUAUAUUUAAUAAAUAUUUCCAAUCAUGAAGCUUUAGAGUUCCAUAAAUAAGUGCACCGUAGCACACAAGGUCCAUGUUUAUUCCCUUUUCUAUCAUCUCAUCAGUAGUGGUUAGUGCAUCCUUUAAUCUUCCUUCCUUACAAUAACCAUGUAAGAGAGCAGAGAAACACAUUUCAUUCAGAUAAUGACACUGGUUUUGAAGGUCAUCAACAAACUCUUUUGCUUCAGAUACUUGACCUUUUGCACAAAGUCCAGUUAUCAGAGAUCUGUACGUAUAUGUGUCAGGAACGAGACCCUUCUUCAACAUUUCAUCUAGCAAUUCAAAAGCCUUUAUGGUGUUUCCAUCUUUACAAUGCCCUUCAAUCAAGACAUUAUAAGUGACCUCAUUAGGAGUUACAUUCAUUUUCACCAUCUCAUCAAAUAACUUACUUGCUUCUACCAUCAUGUGUGCACGGCAAAAACCAGAGAUUAGUGCAGUGAAAGUGAAAGUAUUAGGUGAGAUUCCUUUGCCAGUCAUCUCAUGGUAAAGCCUAAAGGCCUUCUGCACUUCUCUUUCCUUGCAGUAGCCAUCUAUCAAUGAAGUAUAGGUUACAACAGUUGGGGUCAAUCCUUUAUCAAUCAUCUCAUUAAAGAUAGAUUCCGCCGCACUGCAUUUUCCAGCCUUGCAAUAGCCAUUGAUGAGAGAAUUGUAAGGGUAUAUGGUUAAUUCUACCUCAUUAUCAAGCAUUCUAUUAUAAAGAAGAACUGCAGCAUCUAAUCUCCCUUGCUUGCAGAAAGAGUCAAUCAUGAUGGAAUAAGUUACACUAUUUGGGCACAACCCUUUAUCCUCCAUUCUAUUAAAAAGAGACUCUGCUUCAUCCAACUUCCCACCUUUACACAAAGAAUUAAGCAAUGCAUUAUAAACAAAUAAAUUGGGCACAACUCCAACUUUCCCUGUCAUAUCAACUAAUCUAUAAGCAGCUACACAAUCACCCUCUCUCCUCAACCCGUCAACAACACUCGACACUACAGCCUCACGAGGAACCAAAAGCAGCCCCAACAUCUCAUCCACUAACCUUCGAGCAAGCUGAAAUUCAUUCACUUUACACAGCCCCAAAAUCAAAGAACAAUAUGUGACAGUAUCAGCAUUCAAUCCUUUGCUAAUCAACAAACUUUUAAUUUCAACAGCUUCCCAAACUCUUCCAUCCUUACAGAGCCCAUGAAUCAAUAUGUUGUGUAAAAUAACACUCACUUUACUCCCACUUCUCUCAACCCAAUUCAUCAUUUCCUUAGCCUUUUCAAAAUCUUUCAACUCACACAAACUUUUAAGCACAGCUGUAUAAAUAUACUCAUCAGGCUUAACACCCAAAGUUACUGCAUUAUCAAACAAUUGCAAAACCAAAUCAAACCGUCUUAUUCGAAUCAACCCAUUUAGCACAGUGCUUAAAGUCCUUAAUUCUGGUACUAAUGAAUGCUCCAUCAUAAGCCUAACAAUCAACACAGAAUCCAUUACUCUCCUAUCCUGAACAUAAUUUUGGAUUAGCAAAUCAAAACCCAAAGUGUGACCAAAAUUGAAUCUUUUAUACACAUCUAACAAAUUGUCAAAAACAAAACUUGGGUUCACUUUUCUUUGCAAUAGGGUCUGCAAAAGUGAAGUAGCAGGCCAAUAAAGAUUGGACUGAACAAGGGAAUGUAUUAGAAUGCAAAACGAUAUUGUUGAAUGAUAAAAGUUCUUGUGAAGGCCAAGAAAAUUGAAGAACCGUAAAGCCAACCUACAAUCAUCAAGGGUUUGAAUUAGAAUUUGCUCUACGUGAUGGUUUUUCAGUCUGGUGGAAAUGGUGCUGUUCAGUGCUAUAUUCCAGCUCCGUUUGCUCCGAACGAUUUCAUUUAGAGUUGCUAUGAAGUUUUUGUCGUUUCCUUGGUUGUUGAAUUUGCGCGUUGUGGAAAUAGUUCGCCGGUGGCGAAUGUGACCGGAGAAUUGCCUGCUCCGGCGAAGGGAAGGGUUCAUUUUGAGCAGGCUUGAAUCGCUGGGCUGAUGGAGGCGUUGCUUAGUUUGUGAGUACCCUUUGAGAAAUCUGUAAAUUUGAGGGGCAGAAAUGCUACUUUUAAUUUGAUGAGGGGGCAGUUGUGGAGUUAUAUGGAUGUUAUUGGGUGAAACUGCAAAUAUUUUAGUGGUGUAGUUCUUCAGAAACAAUUCUUUUCCUUAAGAAUAUGAAAUACAUAUGAUUAAUUAAGAUAGACUAAAUUACUACUUUAAUUUUUAAAAUAUGCACAUCAUACAUAUUAGAAUAUUUUGCUAGAUAAAAAAUAGUAAUUUGUGUAAAAGUAUCAUUUUAUUUAUUUUCUUGAUUUUAUGUUUUAUAUUUAUAUUAAUAAAUUUAUUUAAAUAAAUUAGCCUAUAAAUGUUAUUAUUUAGAGAUAGUUCUUUGUUGUUAAAUAAAUCAAUUACAAUAUUUGAAAUGUGAGAUAUUUAACAUUUAUUAAUUGAAAUAACAAAUAUAUAUAUAUAUAUAUAUGUGUGUGUGUGUGCGCGCGCGCGUGCGUGUGUGUUUUUGUGAUUAUUUGUACUUUGAACAAUUUAUAAUAUUGCAUACAUAUUAAAAUUAUAAUUUGCAAUUCUUAUGUGUAAAUGUAGUUGAUUUUACUAUUGUAUACCGUCUUUGUGAUUUUAAAAGUAGACGGUCUAUCUUUUUUAAAUUGAAGAUUAAUGUUUUGUGAGUGAUCAAUUUAUUAAUAUGACAAUUGGUUUCCCUCAAAUAAUUCAAAUAAAAAAUAGCAAACAUGGGGACAAAAUUGUUCUUCUCCUUGUCAGUUAGAAGGCCGAAUAAAAAAAAUAUUGUUCUUAUCUACCUUGAUCCAAUUAAAAGGAAAAAUUACGUGACUUGGCAAACAUUACUAAUAUAUCAUUUAAUACAACUAUAAUUUUACAUAAUUAUGAAUCGUAACUAAUGUUUAGUGGGAUUUGCUUUUAAAAUCUCGACUGCUUUUUAGUACUUGUAGAAAAAUCAUAUUUUAUCUUUCCUCUUCCCAAUUACUGAUUUUUCUCCUAAAAUCACUCGACCAUAUUCAAUUUUGUAUCCUUUUAUUGAAAUGAAGUCUCUAUUGAAAGCUUGAUAGUCAUUACAUUAAUAACAACAUAUGGACUCUAUAUUGUUUAUACCUUGCCAAUAUUAUUAAGGAUGACUCUAAGUUGAAAGUUUUUCAAUCUGGGCUUAUAACAUCUCGCAAAAUCUACGCUUAAUAUUUGAACCAAUUGUCACAAGUGUAUCAUCUUGAAUCGCAAAGUGAAAAAGGCGCCAAAUAGCAGCAAAAAUCAACAACAAUCCAACUUCACAAACUUUUCGAACAGACCCUCCAAAUUCAUUUGAAACCCACAAAAAGAAAUCAACCAUUCACAUUGAUUAGAAAUUAUCUUUCGAACUUGUUGAAUCAUCAUAUCACUGAUUUGUGGUCGUGUGACCAAAAAAUAAUCACGGCUAAACUUAACUUCCUUAACAUUCAAAAUUCAAUCAAUGACUCAUAUAAUUCCCAACUCCUUGGGAGUCACACCAAUCAUUCAACAAAGUCAAAAAUACCUUAUGAAACUAACAAAAUUGUCAACAUUUGAAUUCGAGCUUGUUAACCUAGAAUGUUGAUUUUAAUCAAAUUUAUUUUUUUUUAAAUUAAAACUCACCCAAAACCUAUUUGAUCACCUCAAGAAUCGUGUUAUUCAUCUCCACAAGUAAGAAAUGAUAGAUAGCUACAUGAAAGGGCAAAAAAGAAAAAAAAAACACAAAAAACUCAAAACAAUCAUGCGAAAUCAUCCACCAUAAAAUAUACAUUCAUCUUCAAACAUAAAAAUAAAUAAAUAAAAAAAGUAUUUAGACUACCAAAAAUAUGAGGAUAUCAUGUCUACCUUGGUCUCUCAGGUGGCCUUCUUCAUCGAACAAUGCCUGUUUUACACCUUCAUUGAUGUUAUCUCAUUGGACCUCAAUUUUUGAAUCUGUCUAUCUGAAAUAACUAUAUGCUCAAAAGUCAUAUUCAGAUCCAACUAUAUCGUGUCUCAUCAAAUUAUUUGGGAUUAGUUAGAUACUUCGUCAACAUAGACACAAGAAAUAUCGAGUGCACAUCUAAUAGUCCCGGAGGCAAGGACAACUCAUAGCUACCUCACCAGUGCAUUGUAGCACCUCAAUCAGACCAAUAAACUUAGGGGCCGUUUGGUGUGACGGAUUUAGUGUUUGGUUGGGAAGUUUUGGAUAACUUAUCCUGAAAUUAAUAAAGAGUAUCGAGAUAAGUUAUCCCUCUCAAGGGGUGGUAUAAUAAUCCCAUCAUAAUUUAUCAUGGGAUAAACUUAUUAAAUGACAAAACUACCCUUCAAAUCAUUUAAUUUGAUAACCUUUCACAAGGGCUGCUUAUGAAACUUUACUCCCGCUUUAAUAAUUGUCACGUUACCUCUUAGGUUGAAAAAAAUGUUCGUGUAUUUGUCUUUAAUAAUUUAUAUGCAAAGAUUUGGUAUUUAAACAUAUUUUUGAAUGUGGCUGCGCUAUUUAUCAAGAUUUCAUUUUUUGAUCUUUCUCUUCCAUAAUGUGUGCAAAAAAUAUUAUUUUAACACAUUUAUGUAUGUGGGAAUUUAUCAAGAUUCCAUUUUUUUAAUUUGUGUCAUUUAUAAUAUGUGCCAAAAUUGGUUGUUUUACCACAUUUCUGUACAUGGAUACUUAUCGAGAUUUCAAUUUUUUUAUCGUGUUCUGCUAAUUUUACUCUUUUAUUUUUUGACUAAAUAAGUAAAUGGGUGUUUAGUACUUCUCGUCUGAAAAUGAAAAUGGAGAAUGGUUUGUUUCUCACGUCUACAUGUGUAUUCAAGAAGGUCAAGGAAGAAAAGAUUGGAAGGACUAUGUGGAUAGGUGAGAUUUAUUUUUAAAAUGAGUUACUGGUGGGUUUUCUAUCUUGGAUGGAUUGGGUUUUAAACUCUACCAAAAAUAUAUAUGUAAAAAAAAGCUAAAAUAAGAGGGUAUUUUUGUAAUCAAACCACUUAUUUUUUGAGAAAUAUGCCAUGGUCAUUAUUUUUAGUACAACAAACCAAAUAAUCAAUAAGAUAUAAUGUCAGGAUAAAUAAUCCCAGUAUAACUAAUCCCAACUUAACUUAUCCCAGCAUAACUUAUAUUCAAACCAAACGAACCCUUAAGGUUAAGUUUGUCCUUCUUUUCAAACCCCAUGACCAUUUUCAUAGGCCAUAGCUUCAUCAACACCUUUUCGACAAUCAUAAAUUUUAAAUCAUAGAACUUCUAAUUUGCUUAGAUCUUUUGUCUGAAUUAGGCUGUGUAAAGUCUAUUCUAAAUCACCUAUUCAUUUAGUCUAAGGAAUCUCUCAACAAAUCAAUACUCCACAAUCUACCUCAAAAGUGUUGAAUCACCCAACUGAAAGCUUAUAUCUCCUACCAUAAGAAGCUUUAAACAACACUAUUUAAAUAAAAAAUGAUAACUAUUAUCACAAACUAACUCCGCCAAACACCUCAACAUUAUAUGUGUCAUUUGGUGCAAUUUACCCAAAGUAAAAUAGGAAAAGUAAUUUCGGGAAAAAACAACUCACAUGCUAGCAAACUAUAUUCCCCCCUUCAGUCUAUUAGACUGACAUGAUAACCAACUACACCACGAUACCCUUGUCUCCUUCGAGUCGUUUGACUUGAGGUAUUAGAUAUGAUAAUAACAAUGUUGGACUAUUUUAUCAUGCAUUUGAUUGAAGGUAAUAUUAGACUAUCUUAAAAUUAUUUAUCUCAUAAUUACACUUUAUUGAUAAAAUAAGAGCCCGUUUGAAUUGGCUUAAAAGUUAGUCAAACCUACUUUUAAAUCAGUUUUUGAUUUCUGAAAGUGUUUGACAAAUAUAAAAAAUGACUUAAAAUAGGUUACGAAGUGUUUGACAAGGUAAAAAAUGACUUAAAAUAAGUAAAAAAUGACUUAAAAUAAGUCAGAAACCAAAAGUAGAUCUCCCCCUAUUUUUUAUUUUUUGACUUAAAAGUCAUUUCAGUUUGACUUUUUAUUUUUGAGUUAAAAACUACUUUUUUUAAGCCAAUCCAAACGGGCUCUAAGUUAUCAUAUACAUGGUGAAAUAACUUGUUUCCAUCCAAUCCCCUUUUUAUAAAACCAAUCUACUAUUCCUUUUGUCCCUAAUUACUUUUCCACUCUUUUUUUUUAGUUGUUUCUAAUUACUUAUUCACUUUUUUUUUUAGUUGUCUCUAUUUACUUGUUUAUUUUGAUAAAUUAAGAAAAGUUAUUUUUUUUUACCUAUUAUAUCCUUAAUUAAUUAUUUUGAAAAAUGUAAUUUUUUUUGAAAAUCUUAUGUUCAUAAUAAUUUUUUUAAUUGGUUUACCAAUUUAAAAAUUGACAAGUAACUGGGGACAAAGAUACUACUUAACCCGAACGAAACGGCGUUAGUACGAGCGAGCUUCUUUUCUUGUCCUCUCAAAGUUCAAACCCUACCCAGCUUUCUCAAUUUCUACCUUCUCUUUCGGGAUAGUGUAUUAAAAGUGACAAAGUAUUUUGUUAAUUAGGUAGGAGUCCUCCAAGUUUUAAAUAUUACGUAGAAGUGACAAAUAUAUAAUUAAUAUUAAGGAAAUUAAAAAAUCUUUCCUCAACAGCCCCAAACUUUUAACUUUUACACUUUUACCCUAUAUUUUUACCUCAAAAUAUCUAAAAUUUCACUAAAAUAUAUGAGAAGAAAAAAGGCGGUACUUUUUUCUCACUUGCAGCGUCUUCAACAACGAGCCUGAAGGACAACUACCAAGUCUUCAACGAGGCUGAAGUAUGCUUCUCAAUUCCCUUCUUCUUCUUUUUCUUCAUCCUCAUCAUUCUUAAUUUGUAAGCAUAUAUGUGAUUUAUGAGAAGAUCUAUCAAGAAAAUUUUGUGAAAAUGGAUACCAAAAUUUUUUGAACUUUUUGCAUUGCAUUGGUUCUGUUUGAUCUUGAAAUUAACUCAAAAGAGAAUUAUUGAUAAAUAUAAAAAUUAUUUUGUGUCCAUUCUUCAUCUAGGUUUAUUAAAUCUAAUUUGAUUAUUUCAGCCAACAACUUUCGUAGUUGUCUGGACAACUGCUGAAGUUGUUUGUAGAAAUAAAUAAACAUCUCUGUCAGAUAUAGAAAUUGUCUAACAACAGUCUGUAGCUAUCGGACGAUUAUAGAAGUUGUCCAACAACUGUCUGUAGUUAUCGGACGAUUAUAGAAGUUUUCCCAACAACUACUGCAGUUGUUUGACAGUUGUGUUCAGUUGUUGGUCAACUGAUUAAUUUUUAGGACAAGUAAUAUAAUUGUGGGCAAAGUAUUAAUUGUUGAAAUAAAUAAUUGAAGAAUUAUAGCAGUCUCCAAAGCUACUAAACUUUUAUGCCAAUUGUUGAUAGUUGUGAGGUAACUAAAUAGAUGUAAAACAAGUAAUCAAUGUUCUUUUGCAAUUUUUGUAGUUCUUUGAUGAAUGUCUUACUUGUGAUGUCUCCAGGUAUUGUUUCCCUCUAUGGAAGACCAUAUAAUAAUAGGAGUUGAUUUACAUGGUGAAUGGGUGGAGAAUCCUACUCGUUAUACUUGGCGUUCGAAGGGUCGAGAGACAGUACCGAUAAAGAUAAGCGAGAAUGUUACGUACGAUGAAUUAGUUGACAUCAUUGUUUCUAGGUUUGAAUUAGAUUGUGAUAAAAAUGAUCUCUCUAUUAGUUACAUGCUUGGCUUUAUUGAAAAGCAAAAAGGAGCUCCUUCUAGGAUAAGAAACGAUCUUGAUUUGCGAUUUUUUUAGAUGAUCAAAGUAGGCCAAUUUUAAGGAUAUCUGUGGUUGAGAAGAUUAUAGAGACUACAAAUUCAGUUGUAAAUGAUGAAGAGCAUCCUGUUACAAUGGAUAUUCCUAUAAAUGAGGAAGCUUCACUACAUUCGAUAUCAACACAAGGUAGCCGCUACACAGAUGAUGACGGCACAGAUUUUUAUAAGGGUAAAAUUUUCAAGGACAAGCAAGAAUUAACUAAAUUGUUGAAGCUUGCUUCCGUGAAGAAAGAUCAAAGAUUCAAAUCUGUGAAGAGUUCUAAAGAUGUGUAUUGUGCUAGAUGUGUAGAUCAGAAUUGUGAUUGGUGGUUGCGAGCUACAAAACUUAAAAGUUGUAAUAGAUUUGAAAUUACAAAGUAUCGCAACAUUCACUCAUGUGGGGCACAACACCUUACAAGUCAUCAUCCACAUGCCUCAGCAGAUGUCAUUGCAGAAUACAUACAACCUAAUUACUUGAAUGGAAAAGGUCCCUCCACAAAAGACAUAAAAAAUAUAGUGCAAGCAGAUUUGAGCUGCAAGAUUAGUUACUGGAAGUGUUGGAAAAGCAGUGAGAUAGCAAAUGCUAUGAUAAGAGGGACACCGGAGCACGGGAUAUGCAGUUCUAGAUGGUUAGGUUAUCGUCAUAUGCUUAUGACUAUAAAUGAAGGAAGCAAGACAUCGUUAAAGAUUGAUGACAAGGGAAGGUUCAAAUAUUUUUUUGCAUCUUAUGAAGCUUGGAUUAAGAGGUUUGUGCAUAUGAGAAAAGUUUUAGCCGUUGAUGGAACAUUCUUAAGAGGUCGUUACGAUGGAGUUUUGUUGUCUGCUGUCGCACAGGAUACAGAAAAUCAUGUUUUUCCUGUUGCAUUUUGUGUAGUAGAUAAGGAAUGUGAUGCCGCAUAUGAGUACUUUUUUGAGAAAUUGUUGGACAUAGUUAAGAUUUUUAUUAGAUGUAUACCAACAACUUCAAAAGUUGUUGGACAACGGAUACAGUUGAAGGGGUCAAGUUUUUCAAUUAACUGCACAUUAUUAAACAACUGCUUUAGUUUUUCCAACAACUUUUUAAUUGUCCAACGUCUUCUCACAGUUGUCCAACAACUUCGCAUAGUUGUCUAACAACUCUAAUAGUUGUUGGGACAAUUUUUAUAAUUAUUAAGAUUACUUCGCAUUGAUAUUGAAGAUCAAUAGAGUUAUUUUGUGAAUUAUUAAGUAUAAACUAAGUCGUUUAGUAAAAAUUAAAGAUCAAUCGAGUUAUUUUGUGAAUUAUUAAGCAAUAGUUUGUAUUUUAAUUUUUGAUAUUUUUGAAUUCUUAUAUUUCAGAUAUGAUGUAUUGACCUCAAAUAUUGCUGAGUCUGUUAAUGCAAUGUUCAAUGAAGCAAGAGAAUUUCCCAUUAUUGCCUUGUUCAAUGAUAUAAGCAAGAGAUGGUCGGAAAAAUUUCAUGAGAGAAGAAUGGCACACGCCAAGUUAAAAACCACAUUCGUUCCUUCAGCUGAAACUAAAAUAAUGGCUAAUAAGAAUCUGGGAAAUAAAUUAUUGGUCCAUCAAAUUGAUGAAGACACCUUCAGCGUCACCGCGGACAAUGAAAUCGCAAUGGUCCAUCUUCGAAGUAAAAUAUGUUCGUGUCAAGAGUUUGACUUGGAUAAAAUACCUUGUCAACAUGCUAUGGCUGCGCUCAGACACAAAUUUGGAGAUGAAUAUGGCAAGAUGAUUUAUGAGUACUCUUCUCCGUAUUAUAAGGUAGAGUCAUAUAUACUUGCAUAUGCAGAUCCAAUCUAUCCAGUGCCAGCUGAAGAAUUUUGGAAUCUUCCUCUGGAAAUUUUAGAGAGAGUAAUACCUCCACCUGAAAAGAAAACUAAACUGGGAAGGAAGCGGCUGAAACGAGUACCUACUAUAGGAGAAAUGGUUUCAAAGAAAAGAAAUGGUGUAGUUUCAUGAGUUAUUAUCGUAUGCAUAACAUGUAUUUACAGAUGCUAUGAUUAGUUCAAACAAUUAUGUAGUUAAGAUUUUUAUUAGAUGUAUACCAACAACUUCAAAAGUUGUUGGACAACGGAUACAGUUGAAGGGGUCAAGUUUUUCAAUUAAUUGCACAUUAUUAAACAACUGCUUUAGUUUUUCCAUCAACUUUUUAAUUGUCCAACGUCUUCUCACAGUUGUCCAACAACUUCGCAUAGUUGACUAACAACUCUAAUAGUUGUUGGGACAAUUUUUAUAAUUAUUAAGAUUACUACGCAUUGAUAUUGAAGAUCAAUAGAGUUAUUUUGUGAAUUAUUAAGUAUAAACUAAGUCGUUUAACAAUAAUUGAAGAUCGAUCGAGUUAUUUGUGAAUUAUUAGUAUAAACUAAGUCGUUUAGUAAAAAUUAAAGAUCAACCGAGUUAUUUUGUGAAUUGUUAAGUAUAAACUAAGUAAUUUAACAAUAAUUGAAGAUCGAUCGAGUUAUUUGUGAAUUAUUAGUAUAAACUAAGUCGUUUAGUAAAAAUUAAAGAUCAACCGAGUUAUUUUGUGAAUUGUUAAGUAUAAACUAAGUAAUUUAACAAUAAUUGAAGAUCGAUCGAGUUAUUGUGUGAAUUAUUAAGUAUAAACUAAGUAAUUUAACAAUAAUUGAAGAUCGAUCGAGUUGUUUUGUGAAUUAUUAAGUAUAAACUAAGUAAUUUAACAAUAAUUGAAGAUCGAUCGAGUUGUUUUGUGAAUUAUUAAGUAUAAACUAAGUAAUUUAACAAUAAUUGAAGAUCGAUCGAGUUGUUUUGUGAAUUAUUAAGUAUAAACUAAGUAAUUUAACAAUAAUUGAAGAUCGAUCGAGUUGUUUUGUGAAUUAUUAAGUAUAAACUAAGUAAUUUAACAAUAAUUGAAGAUCGAUCGAGUUAUUUUGUGAAUUAUUAGUAUAAACUAAGUCGUUUAGUAAAAAUUAAAGAUCGAUCGAGUUAUUUUGUGGAUUAUUAAGUAUAAACUAAGUCGUUUAGUAAAAAUUAAAGAUCGAUCGAGUUAUUUUGUGGAUUAUUAAGUAUAAACUAAGUCGUUUAGUAAAAAUUAAAGAUCGAUCGAGUUAUUUUGUGGAUUAUUAAGUAUAAACUAAGUCGUUUAGUAAAAAUUAAAGAUCGAUCGAGUUAUUUUGUGGAUUAUUAAGUAUAAACUAAGUCGUUUAGUAAAAAUUAAAGAUCGAUCGAGUUAUUUUGUGGAUUAUUAAGUAUAAACUAAGUCGUUUAGUAAAAAUUAAAGAUCGAUCGAGUUAUUUUGUGGAUUAUUAAGUAUAAACUAAGUCGUUUAGUAAAAAUUAAAGAUCGAUCGAGUUAUUUUGUGGAUUAUUAAGUAUAAACUAAGUCGUUUAGUAAAAAUUAAAGAUCGAUCGAGUUAUUUUGUGGAUUAUUAAGUAUAAACUAAGUCGUUUAGUAAAAAUUAAAGAUCGAUCGAGUUAUUUUGUGGAUUAUUAAGUAUAAACUAAGUCGUUUAGUAAAAAUUAAAGAUCGAUCGAGUUAUUUUGUGGAUUAUUAAGUAUAAACUAAGUCGUUUAGUAAAAAUUAAAGAUCGAUCGAGUUAUUUUGUGGAUUAUUAAGUAUAAACUAAGUCGUUUAGUAAAAAUUAAAGAUCGAUCGAGUUAUUUUGUGNNNNNNNNNNNNNNNNNNNNNNNNNNNNNNNNNNNUUUUUAACGCAGGAGUAUAAGGAGAUUUUCUUGCAUAGCUCGGAUAUAUAGUCCUCUUUGAUUGCUGCCCAUCUAACUUUGUUGACAAAGAUUUUACUUCAUUCAAAAGAGUUUCAUACUUAUCACAACAUGUUUCACAUUUACAGCAACAAUCAAUAUUGAAGGCAUUCACAUUUGUUGUUUUUAUCACACCAGGGGUAUCUUCUCCCCUACCAAGAUCAGCUAAAUAUGAUUCAUCUCUUCCUACUCCACCAAAAGAUCUACAAGUAUCUAAAGCAAUCUGGCCAUCACCGUCUCUCUCAACUCCAUAAUUUCUCGCAACACUAUUCUCUCCACCAGUUAUCUCAAGACCUUCUUCAACAACAGUUAUAUUCAGUUUUAUAGCUGUUACAAGUGCCAACUCUUCUUUUAAAGCAUCAAUUUUUGGAUCCGAACUAUCUUCAUAUGACUCAAUAUCUUGAACAUAAAUUUGUUCCUUCUCUAUGUUUGUUGGAAAAAGAAAAGGGUGAACAACCUGAUUUUGCAUCUGCAUUUUAAAAAAAAAAGUUAUUCAUAAUUUAAAAACAACUGAAUCAGUUGUCCAAUUACAACUUCAGUAAUAUGUGAUUGUGGAAAUCACUUUUAUUGUUGUUGGACAACUAAAGUAGUUGUGGAAACAAGUUUAGUUGUCUUAUAAUUACAGUAGUAUUUCAAUAUUGCAUAACACAAUUAAUAUUAUGUAGAAAUAUAAUAUUUUUGAAAAAACUAAUUUAGUUGUACAAUAAUAGCUAAGUUGUAUGUUUACAACUUUUACUGUUGUUGGACAACUUGAAUAGUUGACGGAACAACAAGUUCAGUUGUCCAAUAAUUACACUACUUGUUUAACUUUUGCAUAACACAACUACUAAUAUUAUGUAGAUAUAAUCUUACUUGUUCUUUUGUCUGAUAAAUAGGAUCAAUAUUUGUCUUGUAAGCAGGUGUUCCAGCCAUCCAUUUAAUCAUUCUUGGAAUUGAUUUUUCAGGUGAAGAAUCCUUGGCCAAUCGUUGAAGUGCCGGAAUAGCUUCAAACGCCCAAGCCUACAAUAUAAUAUUAAAAAUAGCUUAGUAUAGAUAAUAAAGUCAAAUAAUAAUUUAACUAAAAAUUAUAAAAUAAAAACAUCAAUUUAAUUACUUACGGCGAACGCCCACGGACAUCCAUGAAGAUUAUACUGAGAUUUGGUUGAAUCUAGCUCUUUCAAAAGAUAGCUAAUGAUAAGAUCAAAGCUAACUCAACCCUAUGGAUAUGAAUUGAACACACUUUUUUUGGAUGCCAUCUUUAGCUAAUGAGUUUCUAUCUUCUUUUCUGCACUUUUUGAACACAAUACACAAUGCAAAAACCAAACCUUACUAAUAGCAAGCUUUUGAUUUUUGGUUAAGCAUGGAUCACUCAUCUUUUCUAUGAGUACAGCAGCAUUUGCAGAUUGACCCACCAGAUCAACCAAAAUUUCACCUUCUUUUCCAAUUUUCGCUAAUUGUUGACUUAGAGGAGGUAGGGAAUGAUACCGAAGUCCAGUCAUAAUAACGAAUUCAUUAAUGUCAAAACAAAGAGGCAAACCAUUAUAAUCAAUCCAAACCUCUUUUUUCUUUUCAGAAAAUAUACGACGAAGACAAAGGCCAUGUACUAACUUCAUUGGAAGUUGUACUGCUACAGAUUGAUCCAACUUCAAAAAGUGACCAAAACAAGAUUUUUUAAAAUCAUUUUCAAUUUUUUGUGCGAUUAAAAUCUUUCUAAACUCAACAAAUUGAGCUCCAAAACCAACUCUCGCAUUGAUGCUUGAAUCAUAAGACCCAGACACACUCAAGUGGGUCUUAAACUUAUACUUAUCAUUGGAAAUGAUUUUAACAUAAUUUGGAGAGGAUUCAAUACCUUCUUCUUCUUUUUCAUCCGAUUGUUCACUUUCACUUUCUUCACUUUGUUCCUCUCUACUUGAUUCAUCUCCAUGACUCUCACCAUCUUUUUUCUCUUCACUUGAAUUUUCGUUGCUAUUUUCAUCACUUUUUUCUUCACCUGAUAGGUCACUGUUAUUCUUACUAUUUUUAUCCAUUUCACUAGAUUGAUCGUCGCUACUUUGAUCACUUUUUUCUUCUCCAGAUGGUUGUCCACCGAUACUUUGAAGUGUUGUGGUACCUCUUUUUCUAGCAGCAGUUAAGCUCUCAGCAUUUUCUUUAGCAUUUGGAUUGGAUGAAGAUGUUCCAGUUCUCUUCCUCUUAUAUUGAAGCAUUAUAACUACACUAAAAUAGUUAAAAGUUAGUAAAUAGUAAGAAAUUAACUGAAUAUGAUCAACAAAAAAUGAGCAAUAGUGGUACAUUAUAGAUCAAUAAUUAAAUUAUUUGUCCUACAACUAAUCAGUUGACCAACAAUUAAACACAAUUGUCUAACAACUGCAGUAGUUGUUGGGACAACUUCUGAAUCGUCGGACAACUACAGGAAGUUGUUGGACAAUUUCUGUAUUAACAAAAAUAUAAAGUUAUUUCUAUAAACAACUUCAGUAGUUGUCCAAACAACUACUUAAGUUGUUG